CAGCCGCCACGGUAAAACGUAGGUGGCAAGCGUUGUCCGGAAUUAUUGGGCGUAAAGGGCUCGCAGGCGGACUGAUAAGUCAGGGGUGAAAUCCCAAGGCUCAACCUUGGAACUGCCUUUGAUACUGUUUGUCUUGAGUUCGAGAGAGGUAAGUGGAACUGCGAGUGUAGAGGUGAAAUUCGUAGAUAUUCGCAAGAACACCAGUGGCGAAGGCGGCUUACUGGACCAUUUCUGACGCUGAUGCACGAAAGCUAGGGGAGCAAACAGGAUUAGAUACCCGCGUAGUCCCUGUCUCUUAUAC
rnacentral:rRNA from 1 species